rfam:Prevotella sp. CAG:485 genomic scaffold, scf141
CAGUCGUAAGCCUGCUGCGGAGCCACAUGAUGCACGUGGCCGUCGAUGCCGGCGGCGGUGAGGAUGAGGUGCUCGCCGCUGAUGGCGUCGGUGCUGGCGCCGGUGCAGAGGGUGGGAGUAACGCCCUUCAUCACGUUGGGGUUACCGGCUUUGCCUAUACCGGCAAUCUUGCCGUCUUUGAUACCCACGUCAGCUUUUACCACGCCCAACAGGGGGUCGAGGAUGGUAACGUUGGUGAUAACGGUGUCGAGGCUGCCGUCUUUGCCUGUAAUGGUGUUUGCCAGGCCCAUGCCGUCGCGCAG